CCCUCCCUCCAGGGAUGGCCAGGAGGCCAGUGAACGGGGUCGCCGUCGGUGUGAUCAUAUCCUUCCUCCAGUACGGCGGUCUUGUGUGCGGUAGUGUCUGCUGUGACAGUGGUCGUAGAGCUGGCAGUGGCUCCGACUCUGCAAGCUUUAAUUGUGCUCCACUGUGGAUAAAAGCAGCUGCUGAAUGACUGAAUGAAAAGUGUAGUAUCGCUCGCUGAAAUCUGCUUUUACUGCCUCUGUCUCUCGCCCUCUUUAGCAGCCCGAGUCCCAGCCUCAGCCCUCAUCCCUCAGUGACAAAGACAUUGAAAAAGAAAUGAAGGGUUUAUUGUAUCAAGAGCAACACGGCGUGCGCCUUCGGCAUGAAAUAUUCAAACACAGCAACAAGUCCCCGUCCAGCGCUGGGCAGACGGUGUACCACAGUCUGAAGUGCUUUGACAUCGUGGAGCUACCAGAGAUCUGUGUGAAGCCAAACCCGGCCUUAGGUGGUCCCCAGCCCUUCAUAGCUUCCUCCACUGAAGACCUGGAAACAAACCAAACCACAUAACAACAAGGAUAGUGCUUCCCACUCCUUGUUUGUUCUUUCUACAAAGUCUGAUGUUUUAUUGGCCGUUAUGUGGCCUUGUAGUCAAGGGGGAAGAGCGUGGUUAUUGCUACGCACACACGGCUGACUGCAGGCUAGUUCAGGGUCUUGUUUGACAGUUGGGAUGCAAUGAAGUUUUGCUGUAGAUGGAAUAAAAACACAAUUUGUGCUGAUAAGGGGAGUUGGGGACAGAAAGGAUUACCUCAUCUCCCAGAGCCCCUCAGGGUUGAUAUAACUGUUGUUUUGUUGGUUGUGGUUUUAGGGACUGGUGUAGAUGAGAAGUGGGAGUAAGUGUUUAUUUAAACAGACGCUUGUCCACAGUCGAAGGAUGAGAAUAAUUCAAUGCAUAAACAAAUAAAUUCAUGAAUAUACAAAUACAUUUGAGACCUAUCAUCCAUGGGGAUAAUUGGUCUCACAAUAACUUUAUGUUCUGAAAUAGGUUUUCUAUUAAAAUGACUGAGCUUUGAGUGUGAUGGGGUCGUUACUCGUCUGAUACAGUAUUGAUUGUUUUUUUUGUUGCUCUAUUGAUUACAGUCCUAAAAUGGAGGGUUCAUUUAAUUCAUUAUCAUUGCACUGAUGAACUAGAUUCCCGGGUGCUGGCCUAGUUAGUGGGUUCUGCACCUGCUGAAUAACUGAGUUGGUUUUUUGUUGGUUCAUUGGCUCUUUAAAUAGCUUAUAACAAUUUAGGGUUAGUAGAGUAAAAUGGGACGUGGACACCUACAUUUUCUGAUUCUUUAAUUCCAUAGUAUGCAUAUUUAUUCCUGCAUGCAAAGAUGACUUCAAAAACCGCCAUGUCUAGUUUACUGCGAUUAAUUAUUCAUGGUUUUACCAUUAUGUUAUCAUGUGUCAGAGAUUUCUUGGUGAAGGGAAACAAUUGUCUAAAACAUCUUUGGUGAAAUUAAAAGUCUGUAAGUAUCAUUAUUAAAGUAUCUAAAAAAAAUUAUACGGGUUAUAAAUAUGUUGGUGUGUGGAUGUGAUGAC
ensembl:lncRNA